rnacentral:rRNA from 1 species
GCCAGCAGCCAUAUCACUCUGCAACUCACCAUUGUCAGCCCACUGAAGCUCAGCAGGUGUGAGCCCAGUCAGUACCUGGAUGGGAGACCUACUGGGAAAAACUAAGGUUGCUGCUGGAA